rnacentral:lncRNA from 1 species
UGCGGAGCUCCCUGGCGCGGCACUUCCAGCGCUGUCAGGGCCCGAAUGCGCCGCAGCCCAGCCGCCUGCAAGCACUGCUGGUGCUGCCUGUAAAAUAUGCACAGUGUUGGGUUACAGUAUCCAAGUGUUAAAUGAUUUAUAAGAUCCUAACGUGAAAUUUAUCUGUAAUUUCUCUUACUAAUGCUUGCUUUCAAUUCUUCCCCCUCUUUCUCUUCCAGCAGAUUACCAUUGAAUUGGAUAAUGCUGAGCUGCCGCAACCUCCAGAAACGGAAAGCUCAGGUAGAGGUGUGUCGCUCACCUAUAUUUGUACAACAGCAAAUAUUGGUGUUCUGAAGUAGUCCUGGUGGAGUGUCUUGUUGGUAGAAAAACAACUGUGAAAUGUGUGUCUGAGUGGUAUAGACAGUGAAAAAUGAGCAGAUUGGUUGAAGUGCUUGAGUCCAACGCAGCAUCAGCAAGACAGACUGAAAACACAUAGAAACACGUAAACCAGUCCCAAAUAUUUUGUUCCUGCAAAGUAAGGGACCCAAAGGACAAGUGGUUUAAUGUAUCUGAGGUAGUACAAGCCUUCCAGCCAUUUGUCUUAGGCUUUUAGUGCAGGCACUCUUUGAGAAGUCUCCUCUCAAGUCUCCCUUCUUCAGCAAAAUAAGACUUCAUUUCUACGAUUCCCUAUAAAGAAUUUUGGUUUCCCCUUAUCUUACAUAUUUAAAACCUUUGAGGAAAUAGAGGUGACAAAAGAAGUUACUGGAAUUUUCAUAAUUCCAGAGCAGCUGGGUGUCCUGUUUGAAACCGCUAAUUGUCACUUCACACCAAGAAGGUUCCUAGCUCUUUAGUGAAUUGGAAUCAGUAGGAACAUUUCAUUUAUGAGACACACCAGCAGCAUCAGUUGGCCCAAGGCAGAUUUGGCAAAAAUAGAACGUGAGAAUUUACGAAAUCUCAAAUUCUUUUGGAAUUAAUGGGAUACCUGGAGGUGGUAUUGAUCGAUUUCACAUCUGGGUGCUGUAUCUGUGCAAAUUUCAGUGAAACAACAAUGAAGUCUUAAUCUAGGAGGGCACUGAUUCUCUGACAUACUGAAGUGUCAAGUUUUUAUGUGUGUUUUGAAAUAACAAAGAAAAAUGAAGUUUGUGAAAUCUUUGUACUUGUAAUUUUUGUGGAAUAGUGCUUAAAUAGAAGCUGAAACUCUCGGUGGUCAUAGAAUGACUUUGAGAUGUCUAGAAGGUGGCUCCUGGUUUAAGAUGGGUCCCGUUUAUAGAGUGGUUUCAGAAUAUUUCUACAGUUUCCAGAAUGCUUUAAAGAACGAGAACUUGAAGUACUUUAGGUUUCAAAGUGGAAGUUCGAGUCAGUAGUAAGUUCCUGAAAAUUUGCUUCCUUUACAUACCUAAUAUCUGAAAUAUGAGAGACUUGAUUUGGAAAUAGGCACGUGCCAAGGGACUUCUCUCAAUAAAUCAGUGAAACCUCUACUGAAGUCCAUGGCGUUGGAAUGAAAACCCUGUGUGGGUUUUGUCAGAGGCCCUCCACAGUCUCAAAAGAACUUCUUUGACCACAAUCCGACACUGUUAAAGUGCCUCCACUUCCACCAGAAAUGUGUGUGUGUGUGUGUAGUGGGAAAGGGGUG